AAUAGAUACCCGGGUAGUCCACGCCGUAAACGAUGCUAACUCGUUUUUGGGCCUUUGGGUUCAGAGACUAAGCGAAAGUGAUAAGUUAGCCACCUGGGGAGUACGUUCGCAAGAAUGAAACUCAAAGGAAUUGACGGGGGCCCGCACAAGCGGUGGAUUAUGUGGUUUAAUUCGAUGAUACGCGAGGAACCUUACCAAGGCUUAAAUGGGAAAUGACAGGCUUAGAAAUAGGCUUUUCUUCGGACAUUUUUCAAGGUGCUGCAUGGUUGUCGUCAGCUCGUGCCGUGAGGUGUUAGGUUAAGUCCUGCAACGAGCGCAACCCCUGUCACUAGUUGCCAUCAUUAAGUUGGGGACUCUAGUGAGACUGCCUACGCAAGUAGAGAGGAAGGUGGGGAUGACGUCAAAUCAUCACGGCCCUUACGCCUUGGGCCACACACGUAAUACAAUGGCCAGUACAGAGGGCAGCUACACAGCGAUGUGAUGCAAAUCUCGAAAGCUGGUCUCAGUUCGGAUUGGAGUCUGCAACUCGACUCU
rnacentral:rRNA from 1 species